rnacentral:rRNA from 1 species
ACGGGUGAGUAAUACAUCGGAACGUGCCCAAGAGUGGGGGAUAACGGAGCGAAAGCUUUGCUAAUACCGCAUACGAUCUACGGAUGAAAGCAGGGGACCGCAAGGCCUUGCGCUCAUGGAGCGGCCGAUGGCAGAUUAGGUAGUUGGUGGGAUAAAAGCUUACCAAGCCGACGAUCUGUGGCUGGUCUGAGAGGACGACCAGCCACACUGGGACUGAGACACGGCCCAGACUCCUACGGGAGGCAGCAGUGGGGAAUUUUGGACAAUGGGCGCAAGCCUGAUCCAGCCAUGCCGCGUGCAGGAUGAAGGCCUUCGGGUUGUAAACUGCUUUUGUACGGAACGAAAAGCCUCUUUCUAAUAAAGAGGGGUCAUGACGGUACCGUAAGAAUAAGCACCGGCUAACUACGUGCCAGCAGCCGCGGUAAUACGUAGGGUGCGAGCGUUAAUCGGAAUUACUGGGCGUAAAGCGUGCGCAGGCGGUAAUGUAAGACAGAUGUGAAAUCCCCGGGCUCAACCUGGGAACUGCAUUUGUGACUGCAUUGCUGGAGUGCGGCAGAGGGGGAUGGAAUUCCGCGUGUAGCAGUG